rnacentral:rRNA from 1 species
UAUACCGUGAAACUGCGAAUGGCUCAUUAAAUCAGUUAUCGUUUAUUUGAUAGUACCUUACUACUUGGAUAACCGUGGUAAUUCUAGAGCUAAUACAUGCUGAAAACCCCAACUUCGGGAGGGGUGUAUUUAUUAGAUAAAAAACCAACGCCCUUCGGGGCUUCUUGGUGAUUCAUGAUAACUUUACGGAUCGCAUGGCCUUGCGCCGGCGACGGUUCAUUCAAAUUUCUGCCCUAUCAACUUUCGAUGGUAAGGUAUUGGCUUACCAUGGUUUCAACGGGUAACGGGGAAUUAGGGUUCGAUUCCGGAGAGGGAGCCUGAGAAACGGCUACCACAUCCAAGGAAGGCAGCAGGCGCGCAAAUUACCCAAUCCCGACACGGGGAGGUAGUGACAAUAAAUACUGAUACAGGGCUCUUUUGGGUCUUGUAAUUGGAAUGAGUACAAUUUAAACCUCUUAACGAGGAACAAUUGGAGGGCAAGUCUGGUGCAGCAGCCGCGGGUAAUUCCAGCUCCAAUAGCGUAUAUUAAAGUUGUUGCAGUUAAAAAGCUCGUAGUUGAAACUUGGGUCUGGCUGGCAGGUCCGCCUCACCGCGUGUACUUGUCCGGCCGGGCCUUCCUUCUGGAGAACCUCAUGCCCUUCACUGGGCGUGUUGGGGACCAGGACUUUUACUUUGAAAAAAUUAGAGUGUUCAAAGCAGCCCUUGCUUCGAAUACGUUAGCAUGGAAUAAUAGAAUAGGACGUGCGGUUCUAUUUUGUUGGUUUCUAGGACCGCCGUAAUGAUUAAUAGGGACAGUCGGGGGCAUCAGUAUUCAAUUGUCAGAGGUGAAAUUCUUGGAUUUAUUGAAGACUAACUACUGCGAAAGCAUUUGCCAAGGAUGUUUUCAUUAAUCAGUGAACGAAAGUUAGGGGAUCGAAGACGAUCAGAUACCGUCGUAGUCUUAACCGUAAACUAUGCCGACUAGGGAUCGGGCGAUGUUCUUUUUUUUGACUCGCUCGGCACCUUACG